UACGGAGGGUGCAAGCGUUAUCCGGAUUCACUGGGUUUAAAGGGUGCGUAGGUGGGCAGGUAAGUCAGUGGUGAAAUCUCCAAGCUUAACUUGGAAACUGCCGUGGAUACUAUUUGUCUUGAAUAUAGUGGAGGUGAGCGGAAUAUGUCAUGUAGCGGUGAAAUGCUUAGAUAUGACAUAGAACACCCAUUGCGAAGGCAGCUCGCUACACUAUUAUUGACGCUGAGGCACGAAAGCGUGGGGAUCAAACAGG
rnacentral:rRNA from 1 species